CUGACAGGGGUUGCCCGCACCUCAGAAUUACUAAUAGACUCUUGAGACUCUUCUCUCAUCUGUCCAUAUGGAUGAGCUUCAGGAUGUUCAACUCACAGAGAUCAAGCCACUUCUAAAUGAUAAGAAUGGUACACGAAACUUCCAGGACUUUGACUGUCAGGUAAGGACUGUACAAGCACCAAGGAGGGCUGUGUACAGGAGCUCUGC